rnacentral:miRNA from 1 species
GCCGUGUGCCCCAGUCGCACUCGUCCCUGGCUCAGGCCACGAACCAAGAACAGAGUCUGUGCCGGGCGCGUGCGACGGUGGCGCGCGGC